rfam:Lachnoclostridium sp. An118 An118_contig_1, whole genome shotgun sequence.
CAGGUAUGACAGGUGAUCGCGGCUGCGCACGCCGAAAGGCAGCAGGUGAGGAAAGUCCGGGCUUCACAGGGCAGGAUGCCGGAUAACGUCCGGUGGAGGCAACUCCAAGGCCAGUGCAACAGAAAUGUACCGCCGGGAUCUUCCCGGUAAGGGUGGAAGGGCAGUGUAAGAGACUACCGCCCUCCUGGUAACAGGAGGGGCACAUGUAAACCCCAUCCGAAGCAAGACCGGAACGAGACAAUGCGGCGGCCCGCCGCGUCUCAGGUUGGUCGCUCGAGCCUGCCGGCGACGGCAGGCCUAGAUAGAUGAUCACCCAACGACAUAACCCGGCUUAUCGUCAUGCCUGGUUU